CUGAACAAGAGUUUUACAAGGAUUCAGCACUGGAAGAGUUAAAAGCCAGCGAGAAAACAGUGCAAGAAACGUGUGUGUGUGUGUGUGUGAGGAGAACGCAGCGUGGAUGAGACAGCAUUUAACCAGCAAGCAUACAGCUGUCAGUUCCUUGGAGCAGUAGGAGCCUGCAGUGUUAUGAGGAAGGUAACUGUACUGUGUGAGAUGGGAGAGUGCUGACGAUACAGCAUGUGCAGUCAUGUUUAUAUUACACAGUUAUUUGGUUUAUUAUCUAUUCUGUACACUGUUUCUACAGCAUCAGAGUGAUUGUGCCACUUCGUACCCGAAACAGAGACUGUCAAACAAACAAAUAAAAGACAGCUUAUUUCCUAUCACAUUAA